rnacentral:lncRNA from 1 species
AUUAUUUUUGUUUAUGUAUUUAGAUAUGGUUGGAAGCACACUCGCGAAAAUACUCGACAAACAUUGCCUAGAGGGGCACAAUUUCCCAUCAUGGUAUCGUAAUGUCAAGAUUCUCCUAACAUUGGAGAAGAUUGUCUACGUACUAGACAAGGCUCCACCUCACAUACCUCUCGGCCCUGGGGCUACUGAGGAUGAACGUGCUAAGUUUGACAAGCACGUUGAGGAUGACACACAAGCCAAGUGCUAUCUGUUGGCUUCCAUGAAUGAUGAGCUACAGAGACAGCACGAGGGCAUGGAUAGUGCAUCUUCCAUAAUACUCCAUCUUACGGAGUUAUAUGGUGAAGGGAUGCACAACCGUCGCUUUAGCAUUGUUUGUGAACUUGUGAAGACCAAGAUGGUCAAGGGGGCUCCAGUGCAUCAACAUGUACUGAAGAUGAUAGGAUUCAUUGAACAAUUGGAGAACCUUGGUACUCCACUUGACGGGGAAUUGGCCCAGGACUUCAUAUUGGCUUCUCUUUCUGAUUCAUUUGCGCAAUUCGUAAUGAACUACAGUAUGAAUAAGAUGGAUAGUACUCUCUCUGAGUUACUAAAUAUGUUAGUAACUGCCAAGAAGACUAUGAAGAAAGAGAACGUUGUAGGGACUUCUGCAGUAGUCUACAACAAGCCAUCCUCUUCCAAGGCCAAGCCGCAAGGCAAAGGCAAAGGGAAGGAGAAGAAGCCACCCUCUCCUAAGCCGAAAGGAGGAGUGAGGAAAAAGAAGGCAAAAGAGCCCAAAGGGACUUGCCACCAUUGUGGAAAGGAAGGGCAUUGGAGGAGGAAUUGCAGGUUAUACCUUGCAAGUCUAAGGACAAGCCACAAGGUAUGGUUUAUGUUCUUAUCUUCAAUUCUAAAUGUUAGAUCUUCUAAAUAUUUAUAUUUGAUAUAAAGAGCUAAUCACUUGUAUAAUUGUAUAUAGGUGGAGAAGCCAAGUAGAAGAUGAACAAGCAAGGAAAAGGUGGUGAAGGGUUCGGCCACUAUAUUUUUUUGCUUACUACUUAGGAAGUUUGUUAGGCAUUAAAGAUUGUCUUUAAACUUUCUUAUUUUGUUAAGAACUUAUUAUGUGGCUUCAUAUGAUGAAAGACCACUAUUAGUGCCUAAAUAUAUAAAGGUAUUUAUAUUAGUCUCUAAAUGUAUAGAGCUAAUACUUUUUGUAUUAAACAUUAUAAAUGUUUGAAAUAUCAUAUUAAUGUAAUGUGAAGAAUGCCUUUUUAAUAUAUUAUUUCCUUAAAGUAGUGUUAUGAAUUGAAAAUUGUCUUGUUGUAUCCUAAUUGAGAUACAAGAGUUAUAUCACUUAUUGUAAUGUGAUAACCAAAACUUUAGAUUUAUCAAUUAUGGAUAGAUCUCACAUGUAGGACAUAAAAGGAUACAAUGAAUCUUUAGAUUUGGUUCCAAUUGUCUACCUAUGAGUUCUAUAUGAAUUGACAAAAGUCUAGAGUAUCCUUUCUUGAAGAAAAGGAAGAUCACAUUAUAAUGAUAUAAGUAAUAAGAAAAACGUUUCUUAUAUGGUUAUCACUUGAAACACAAUGAUCAAGAUCACUCUUGAUUCAAUUAGUAAUUUUGAACCACUAAUUGGGCAUUCUUUAAAAGGUUUUAAAAUGUCAAUUGUGUUAGUGAUUAAACCAAGAAAGAAGUGUCUAAAUCUAUAAAAUGUUUAAAGACUUUAGUCACUUAAUAACAAGACAUUAACUUAGUGAAGAUUGAAACAAAUAAGCUUGAAAUGUUUUAAAGCUACUACACAAUGUCUUCUUCCAAUAUACUCCACUUUCAUACAUUUUGAAUAUAUGAAAUGAUUUCUCAUUAAAGUCAUGAGAAAUAAUGGGAGGUGUGAAAAUGGAUAUAAACUUGAAUAUGAUUGGUUUAUAGUUGUCUAAAGAAUAAUAGUAUUUGACUAUUAUUAAGAGUUUGCAAUUUUAAUUGUUAAAAGACUCAAGCUCUUCAAAACGUUAAAAUUCUAUGUUGUGUGACAUUCUAAAGAAUAGUCUUUGAAUGUUGGUUUCGUCAACCUAGCAUAAAAUGGCUAUAUGUUGGGAGUUGUCCAUAAUUCUCUUUUAUGAGAACAAGCUAAAUAACCAAGCAUAUGGACAAGUUGAUGAAACAAAAGGGGAUAAGUUUCAAAAUGAGUCACAACCAAGGUAUUAAAUAUCGGUAAUAUCGGAAAUAUCGGUAGUCCGAAAACACGGAAAUAUCGAUGGAAAUAUCGAGAUAAUAUCGAUAUCGAUAAAAAUUACAUGGAAACCACGGAAAUUGUAAGAAAAACUUGGAAAUUUUUAUUGAAACUUUGCAGGAUGUUUAUUUAGUCAAUUAUCUAUUAGUUUAUCACAAAAAAUUGGAAGGAAAUGCAUUGCAUGAUGAAUUUAACAUUAUCAAGUUGAUUAUAUAGCGAGCUGACAAACAUUGUGAGUGUAGAAAAUAUGUAGUAAUUAAUGAAAGUAGUCUAAACAUACCAUAAUCAUUUAUAUAUAAUGAAUUAGUACAAUAUUUUACACUUUAAUACCACAUAGAGUUCCUAUGAGGUUCAAAUUUUUCACUAUCUUCAAAUUUUUCACACACAGGAUGCAACACGCACACACGCACACGCACACACGCACACGCAACAAGCACACACGCAUACCCAGAGGGCCAGAGCCUUUCUGGAUCCUUCUCUCCCUCUCUCGGUCUCUCCGUCUCCUUCUCUCCCUCGGUUUCUUCGUCUCCUUCACAGCCUCGGUCUCUCCGUCUCCUUCUCUCUUUCUCUCCCUCGGACUCUCACCUCACCUCAGUCUCUCAGCACACAUCUUACGGCGAGAAAUUAUUUUCCUUUUUUCAGCCGUUCUCCAUUCUCAGCACAUAUCAUUGGGCCUUUUCAUUUCCCCCUUCGAUCCCUCCGCCGUUGGCAGCGAGAUGAAGACGAGCUACUGCUAGCGAGGGCGAGGGUUACGAGGUCCCUCUGAGCCUUUUCCUUCAUCCCCAAACCUCUGCUGAGGAUUACUUGGUCGCGACUCUCUCUCGAAUCUCGAAUCUCGAUCUCGAUCUGGAUCCUUCCCUCAGUCUCUCCAUCCUUCUUCUUCUCCCUCAAUCUCUCGAACUCGAUCCUUCUCCGGUUCUCCCCCCCCCCCAAUCUCUUCUCUGCAACUCCGCCGAGUUGCUUGGGGCCUUUUUACGGUCUCUCUACACACCACCUGUGGUUUCCUCCUCCCUUUCUCACCUCCCGGCGACGGCGACGACGACGAAUAUCGCGAUAAUAUCGCUAAUAUCGCGAUAUUACCGAUAUUACCGAUAUUAUCGCGAUAUUUUAAAGAUAUUUUAAUUUUACUCCAAAAAAUAUCGUCCGGUUAAAAAAACGAUAUUAUCGGCGAAAUAUCGCCGAUAAUAUCAAUUUUUAAGACUGUGGUCACAACAUAUGGUUUAACAACAAGACAAACCAAAUUCAACAUCUCAUGUAACAAUAUUGCUCUAUGUAGUUUUAAUAAAGAAUUAUAUCAACCACCUAGAAGGAAUGGUUGAGUUUCUAUAUCCUUAGUAGGAACCAUGCUUCCACUAAAGACUUGGAUAAUUCUUAUAUGACUACAUUAAAGGUCUUAGUAUGACUAAAACUUGAAGUAUGGUGUAUGAUAACAUAUAAUUUAAAUGAAUAGACUUAAUGCAACAAGUCACACAUUUCAAAUGGAAUUACUUGAGAAGGAAUUCUUUUGUGUGUGAUUCAUUUAAGUUAGUGGGAGCAAUAUACAUUCAAAUCAAGAAAAUAUAAUUGUUAAUUUUGAAUGAAUGCUAAGUUACAACAAGGCCAGUGGGAGUGAUGUCAUAAUUUGAGCAACAAGAUGUGAAUAAGGUCUAUUCGAUAGACUUGAUAAAACAUAGAUAUUACUCGAGAAAUGACAAAACAUGACAUGGUCAAUUUUGAAGUAUAGACUUGAAAUUGGACUUAUUGAUAUAGCAAGGCUAUCUCAAUAAUGUUAUAUGGGAAUUAAAUCUCAAAUGUUGUAGAUUUAAGAAAGCAUUUUCUUAUGUAAUAGGAAAUCACUUUCAUAACCCUUAUAAUGAAUGUGUCAUAAAAUCACAAAAAGGGGCACAUGUAUUGACUUGUGAAGUAAAUAUCCAAAAGUGAAGAACCACAAGGGUUGUCACUAUAAGAUAUUACUAAAUCCCAGGAUCAGAACCAAAGCAACUGAAUGAGUAUUAUUGCCUUUAAGAAAGAAACAUCAGAGUGGGACUCUGGAAGCGUGCAUUCACUUAGGUUGUUAACCAAAGUGAAAAUAAGCCAUUUUAACAAAUGGAACUUCAUAAUGGAUGAAGUACUAAUCAUAUGAAUGAUUGUUAGUAUUGUACUACAAUGGUCUCAAGGUUGGAGCAAAGUUUGUAUAAAGUAUACAAACGAAAUAUAUGUCGAUAUAUAGUUUUAGAAACUGCUUCAAAAGGUGUUUUGAAUGGAAGGGGUUCUUUUAGAACCAAUGAUUGAAUCCAAACCAUAAGGUCGUCAGUAGGGUACUACGACGUAAUGGGGCGAUAGCUCAAGCCAUGGAAUCAAGGUCUCAUCAAAGUAUUCGAACACAAUAAAGAGACAUCAUCAAAUGUUUUUGGAAACAUUUGAUAAGAAAAUCCCUUUUAAAUAAUAAAAGGGAUUAAUACAUAACCAAGUUAACCUACGAGCAUAAGCUCUCUCAACAAGAUGUAUAAGAUACACUAGUGAUUGACUUUAGUGCAAGUGGGAGAUUGUUGGAAAUAUGCCCUGAAAGUCAAUCUUUGGAAGAAACCUUUCAGGACAAAUGAAUCGAUGUAUGGAUGACUCUUAUACAUCAAAUGGCAAAAACACGAAUUAGGACUAUCUCAAUAAACGAUAUAUGUCCUAAAUAGUGUAUCCAUGGACAAUGGAUCGAUUGAAGAAGUAAUCUAAUCAUGUUAGACUACAGAGACCUUCUUCACAUAACCAUUAUGUCCAAAAAGGUUCCUAGUCAUUGGAUUGUCGGAGGGAAACUGACAAUGCUUAGACCGGUACAUACUAUGUCCGCUUCAAAUGGAAGGAUGGAAAGUCUCAUCCCAUUCGUGUUGUGACACUAAGACAAGUAUGUAGGUGCUCAUUAAGAGAAUGAGUUCACUGAACACAAUCGAACGAGAGUACUUGCAUGGAGGUCUACUCACAUGUCAAGCAAGUAACUCUAAUGGUUGGAAUAAUGUAAGUAAUCCUUUGACCUGAGGCAUCGUCGUUGUCUUGUGGCUAAGUACUUAAUCUUUGAUUAUGUCAAAGUCACCCCAUUCGCGGAUGUCCACGGCAUAAUUGGGGUUAAUCCACUUAGUCAUGAAGGCAAGUGAAUGCGUAACAAGGAAUCUCUAAUCCUCGAUUAGAGAGGAAGAAUACUCUAAGAUAUGAUUCGGGAAUCUUUAGCCGAAGUAUCGAGUGUAAUAAAGGAAAGCGUUCCUAUACGACUCAAUUGAAUCAUAUAAGAAGGAAUAAUCACAUUAGGGGUUUGACAUAAUAUAUUCAUACCCUAGUAAUGUGAUUGAGAGUAUUGUUUUAGAGAAUGAUCGAAUUACAUUGUAAUUCCAACUGAAUAGGUUCUCCGAACAACUUCUACAUUAGCUUGGGUAGCUAUGACAUAUGGUUAGAUGUCACUCAUAGCUUGUGAGUUCUUCUAGAUGAUUAAAUGUAGUCAUCAAAGAAGAAAGGUGAAUUAAAAUGAAGUUUUAAUUCACUAAGUGAUUGGAUUAAAUAUAAUCAAUUAGAUUGAUGUCAAUCACCUCACUGCCUUGCUAAUUAGAACCUAAAAUGAUUGUACACCGAUACACUCUUGUAGUGAGUAAUUAAUGGAUGAUGAAAAUAAUUAAUUGGAUUAAUUAAGUGUUGUGAUUAAUUUAGAAAGUCUAAAGAAAUCAUAAAAGCGAUAAAAGAUCGUUUUGGGCUUAAAGAAACGGUUCGGGUUUAAUUGGGCCCAUUGGGCCUAAACCCAUUGGGCUUUUAUUUAAGCAUAUGAUGACUUGAAAUAAUAAAAGCCCAAAGCCCAAACCAAACACUAAAGGGCCGGCCACUUAAAGGGUUUGGGAGAGAUAUUUAGUCAAGUUGUUGACUAGGUUUCUUUUUGUCUAUAUAAGGAACUUUAUAGCACAAAGUUCAUUAGGGUUUUUGUGAGUUUUUGAACAACAAAGAGGCAAAAGAAAAUAACUCUCUAAAACCACAAAGGCCGGCCACCUAGAGGGUGAAUUUACUAACAAUCUUUCACCCUUUUGGUUAUUCCUCCAUCCAUCUCACUACACACUAGUGGGUGUGGAUCUUUAGAGGUCUUCUCCUUUGGAGACUUAAGGAGAACCUUGGAGCACUCUUACUAACAAAGUGGAGGAGGCAAGGAGGGAGGCUAGGCUCAAGGACUUCAAGGAACAAAGGGCUUGGAGGUGGUCCAUCCUUGGUCUCAAGUCUAGAUCAAGAGGUAUAAGACUAAACUUUCACUUUGUUCUUUACUAAAAUGUUUUGAUGCAUUAUAUAUAAACCUAUGAACCUUGAAGGGGAUUUGCAUGACUAUAGCUUUGAUAUUUUUGAUAAAUUGCUUCCGUUGCUCAUGUAUAUAAAUCUUGAAUUGUAUAUGCAUGCUAGUCAUUUAGAAAUCCCAUGUGUUAAGCUCAUAUUUUUCCCUUCAUCUUCUUUGAUGAAUUCUAGACAUUCCCCAUCCGCUUCUUGCUCUUGAUUCUUUGGAAAGGUUUCGAAGAUGCCUUUCUCACCUUCUUCUUCCUUGGAUUGCAUGAUCCUGCAAUGAAUAAGGACAUUUGGUGAAACGGGGUCAGGACAAAUUGAAUUUAGGCUUACCUUGGUUGUAGUGGACGGCAUAGAUAGCAUAUGGGGCUGUGGCAAGGGUGGUUCUUCCCUUGUCGUGGCCUUGUUAUUCUCCUCUUCUUCGAGCAGCAGCUGUUCAUCCAUGUUUUGGCUUGGUUUGGAUGUCUUGGGUUCACCUCCAACCUCCAUAGCACUUCCCAAAGUGAUAGCACCAUGGAUUUCAAAAUCUUCCUUCAAAUUUUCAAUAGUUGAGUUGGAGAGUUCACUUUGCUCUUGAAUUUGUGCCAUGAACUCCAUAAUCUGCCCAAUUUGCUUCUCCAAUUCUCCCAUCUUCUUGGCUUGAUUUUUCAUCUCUUUGUUUCCAUUUUCUACUUCCUGGUUCAAAGAGGUGAGUAACUUAUUAAACAUAUCAUUAUCCAAAGACGUACCUGAAUUGAAUUGGGCAGAUUGUUGUGGUGGUUGCAUAGGUCUUGAAUAGAACUCCUCUUCUUGCUGCCAAUACCCAUCUUGUUGGAAUUGUUGAGGUUCUCCCCACAUGUAAUCUGAAUAAUCUCUCCAAUCCGAAUUGUAAGCGUUGGAAAACAUGUUGUCCCUUAAUUGGCUAUGGCCUUGAUAACCCCAAGCAUCUUCAUUUGCAGCGAAUUUAGAACAUUAAUGAGUUGGAUAUCCUUGCCCAUAGGACACACCAUCUGUAGAGACACUUUGCAUUGUGGUCCUUUCGGCAUAUUGUGACAAUUGAGAAGUAAGUUUCGCCAAUUGAGCUUGAAUGGUAGCAAAAUCCAUAUCUUACUUCUCUAGUACUUGAAAUCAAUGAAACAAAACUAAAUCAAAUAUCAUAAGUAAAAAUAAAAGACAUAAAUAGAAACAAAGUCAGUAACUAAAACAAAAAACAUGAAAAACAAACAACGGGGGAUUAGCAAAGUUGCUAAUCCCCGGCAACAGCGCCAAAAUUGAUGCGAUGAAAUUUAAGCACUCAAAUUAAACCUUCUUGUUGUCAAAUUGUAGUAUAAAUGCAAGUAGGGAUCAUUCUAAACCGGGGAUUAGGAGGGCUUGCUAAAACCUCUAAACUUACUCAAAAACAUAAAAACAAAGUUAAAAACGUUUGAAUAGACUCAAGGGACUCAAAACAGAUUCUAAAGACUCAAAACAACUUAAAAACACUCAAAACUACCUAAAAACACAAACUGGGCAGAUUUGACUCUAACACAACUUUGGACGAAUUUAGUGUUUUGACUUAAAUCAAAACACUCUAAAACACAAACAAAACCGAAAUUUAACACUUUGAAACAAGAAAGUAAAAUGGGCGUUUUGAUUUGGAUGAAUUUGAAAUAAACAAGCAAGUUAUAAAACUAGGUAGAUUAUAAAAUGAAUUUGAGAAAUAAAAUGAUGGAUGGAUUAGUUAGAGGUCUGUUCUUCACACAUGACACACUUGUACAUGAAUCGAUUUCCAAUUGCUUUUCAAUAAACUAUGAUACUCCACACCCCAGAUUAACCGUGAUGCACAAAUUAACCCUCAGAUUUUCCUUUACUCAUUGAAUUGGAUGAAUGCAUGCGACAACCCAAAUCAUUCUCUAAAAGUCCCCUAUAUGAAUGCAUAAUAGAGAUACAAUCAGAGAUCAUUACGUUCAAUGAAAAUCAUAAGUGUUGACGAGACAAUUAUAACUAUGAAUGCAUGAUACAAUUGCCAAGAAUUCAAUUAACGCGAUUGUGAUAGACAACCUUCACUACUCAUGAAUAUAAACUUGUAAUGAUUAGGUGAAACUCAUUUAUAUUCUAGCAUCUAAUUCAUGCUUGAAAACUAAGUAUGCAUCCUUAAUAAACAUACAAGAAUCAGUUAUGAAUAAAAUAGAUAAUUGAAUUGCAAUCACAACUUAUCAAAUCACAAUUGGAAGAAAUCAAUUUAAAUCUCAAGCAUGUUCAUGGCUUCAAACUUCCCCCUAACUAAAUAGGGGUUUAGCCACUCAUAAUUGCAACAAAAUUAGAAAAUAACAAAGUAGACAUUGAAAGCAAGAACGGAGUACACCUAAAACGCUCCAAAGUUCCAAGCUUGAAACGUCAAGGACCUUUGUUUUCACCACCUUGUUGUAGCACAAGUGUCUAGGAUGUGUAUGGAUAUAUGGAUGGAAUGGAUUUGCACGGCUAAGAGAUGAAAGUGUAUGGAUCGAUGAGAUGUAGUAUGGCUAGAUGAAUGGAUGGAGGUCACAGCAAGGAAAUUGUGUUUGUGAAUGAAGUUGUGAGAUGUGAAAUGUAGUGUCUUUGGAUGAUGGCCCCCAAAUUAUGGUGAAGGGUGGAUGUAUUUAUAGGCUAGGGAGAGGAGUGUAUGGAGUUGUAAUGAGUGGAUGUAGUGAGUGCAGUGGGUGAGUGUUGUGGUAAUGAGUGGAUGUAAUGGUUGUAGUGGGUUGUGGUAAUGAGUGGAUGUAAUGGGUGUAGUGGAUGAGUGUUUGGUAAUGAGUGGAUGUAAUGGGUGUAGUGGAUAGAUGUUUGGAGAAUGGAUGUGUUGGGUGAAAUGAGUGGAUGUAGUGUUAGGUGAAUGGAUGUGUUGGGUGAAAUGAGUGUGCUAAAAUGGUUAUUUAUAGGGAGAGGAUGAUGCACAAACUUCAAAUUUCGUCCAUUCCUUUUGCUCCAAGCAUAUGCCAUCCAUUUCAUGCCCAAAAAUGCUCCAAAAUGCACUUCUUUGCCACAUUAACCCUUUGGACCUACAAACACACGAAAAUAGCUUAAAAUACUAAAAUAACUACGAACUAACAACAUAAAUGCCAAGAAACAAGCUAACUAAGUCGCAUAAAUAUGCUCCUAUCACAGGCCCUACCAUCGGAGCAUUAAGUCAUCGAUCGGUUGGCCACGCGUUUUGCAAGUUGCCCCCACUGAACAAGUGUUUUUUAUGUCAUCCUUGAGAUUCAUGCAGUUGUCGGUAAGGUGACCAUGGUCUCUAUGAAACUGAUAAUACUUGGUUUCAUCCCUUUGCCUGUGAAAGCUAGGUCAACAUUCAAGUGGCCAGUAGUUGACAUUCCACAAGUGGAAACAUCUUUUCCUGAGACAUGGUCAUGGGUGUAUAGGAUUUGUACUUGUUAUAUCGCUUGGGGCAACUUUCGGCUUUGGUCUGGUAAUUCUCAAACCUUUUCUUUUUAGGCGGCUGACCUUAUGUAACUUCCCGCUUUGCUUGACCGGUCAACCCUUACUGCAAGAAGACAUAUCAGCAUCCUAGUCUUGUUCAGCUACUCGACCUAAGAGUACUAGUUACCUUUAAGAACAUUGCCUUUGAAAGUCUCGGGAGGAUUUCGAGUCAACUGAAAGUAGAAAUUGCCUCCUAUAAAUCUCCUUAUAAGGGCAUUUUGGGUCGUUGCUUCAUCACACCCCUUGCAUAUGGUAUACUCAUUAUUGGAUCUAGAUAUGUAAUCUCAUAGAGAUUUAUCUGGACCCUACUUCACGGAAGUGUGGUCGAUUGAGGUAUACUGUCUCUUAGAGAUAAUCAUGCAGGUGUUCAUGAAAACCUGUCUCAAUCCUGAGAAAGACGAUAUGGAUCCUGGGUAGAUUUACUUGAACCAAUCUUGAAUAGCUGCUAUGAGGGUUGUCGAUAAUAGCUUGCAUUUGGUGGCAUCGUUGUUCCCCCGACCCUCAACUACAUAAAUGAACCCAUCGAGAUGGUCAUACGGGUCAGUAAGCCUUUUGUAGCUCUGCAUCUUGAGCGCUCGGGUUUCUUCGCUCGUUGGCUCAUCCACGAGCUCUUUGAACAAGGGCAGUGACACUUCCCUUUCGGAAUAAUUGGGGUUCUUGGGUUUGGACGAGUGCUCAAUAUCCUCGAGCCGGUCCCAAACGCUCUUCAUUUCUUCACCCAUCACUUUUCUUAGAGUCCUCCACAAAUCGGGGGACCCAAUAUAACAGAAUUUCAGAGUAUAUGCCUAACAGUCCUCAUGGAAUACUCGGUACAGGAACAAAAUAUUCCUCUUCUUUCAACCUUCCUUCGAUCAUCGGCAUAGCCACCGUCCGCCAUGCACCGCCUUGCAUAGUCGUCGAAUUUUGCAGAUUUUUGUCGGUAAACUGGGUAAAUCUUUAAACUACCAUAUCUCGUUCAUUUUUCCACCAAAUUAAACGAUCCAAACAUGAAAAUUCAUAUGUGCAUCACUACGAAUUGAACUAGGGUGAUUAGAAGUAUCACUUUGGUCAAAAUUAACGGAAAAAUUGCGAGAAAGACUCAAUUCCAAAUUAGAGGUCCACGAUUUCUUGAUAAUGAGAUACUUUGAGCAUCAAAGCAUGAACUAGGCUUCUAAGAUGAUGGUGAACACAAUGAUGAUGUUGGCAGGGUCUAACUCGUUUGAAAAGUUUAUGGAUAGUGAUGGUGUGGUUUGGUGAGGAAGAGAUAGUUCAAGAGAAAAGAGGGAGACCGAGAGAGAAACGAGAGAAAAGAAAGUAAGAGAGUGUUCUAGAUAAGUGGGGUGGUCCCCACGUGGCACACACCCUAAAGCCACAAAACGCAUGUGCCACUUAUUGGCAAAAUGACCAAAAUGGCCUCGACUUGUAGAAUCUUCUUUCUAGCUUCGAAUUUCAUUCUGCUUGCGCCUACGCGUUUAUAUCGACACGUACUAUCCAAAUAUGCCAAGAAAAGUGACGAAACAUGAAAGUAUCUAAUAUGUCCAUGAAGAACCCUGUUUAGCACUAUAGGGGCAUUUUCGUCCAUUUACAUAAAAAAAUUCUAUGCCAUAAAUAUAAACGCAUCGCAGCACUACGAAAUACGAAUGUUAAUAGUGAAAUCCCAUGAAAUCCAUGGAUGGGAUUUCACUUCGUGGACUGAAUUGCUAGUUUUAACUAAAAAAUCUAAUUUGUUAGGGCAAUAGAAAAAUUAAUAAUUAGAAUCCCUUACAUUUUUUUCCAACUUGUUUGACUAGAUAUUUGUUCCUUUACAAAAUUUGCUUAAGAUGCUUUCAUCAAUGAUCAACUUAAUAUUUCUCUAUUAUUUAAUAUAUAUUCAUUUAAGUUAGCUAAGAACUAAUUUUCUAAAAUCUAAGAAUGUUAAAUUCCUUGCAGCGUGGGCUCAAAAGACAAAGAGUGGAGUUUUUGGCAGCUAGAGAUGCUACAUGUUUUGCACAGGAGCAGCAACAACAGAGAGUGGAGUUGGAAGGGGAUGCAUUGAUGGUUAUGUUUGCUUUACAAAAUGAAGGGGAAAGAGAUUUGUCUCCUAUUGGGAAUAUCAUUGCUGACAUCCAACAAGCAAUGCAAGCUUUCACACAAAGAAAGACCAUGUUUAAUGUUUUCAAAAAAAAAAAAGAGAAAGACCAUGUUUAAUAAUGGCCGAGCAACAAACAAGGUGGCGCACAUGUUAGCUAGAUUGAGUUUAACCCUAGAUAAUCUUGCCAUUUGGUUCGAGGAACCUCCAGAUGUAGUACUUGAUCUUUUAUUUGAGGAUAGUACUGUUUAUUAUUGUAGUAGUGCGAGACGCUCUUUUUCCCUUCAAUCAGGUUGAAAUCUCCGACAAGGUUUUUAUCAAGGCCCACUAAAUGCAUCCUAUCCUUCAUGAUGUACGUAUUUUGUUUCCUAUCAAUGAAUAUUAUACUUUUCUCAAAAAACAAAAGAACUAAUUUUCUACAAUCUAGGAAUGUUAAAUUCGUGGCUUUAUUAAAAUAAUUCCUCAUAUCACUAAAUAAAAGUAAAUUUUUAUUUUUGUUAUUAUAUUGAAUUAGUCUCUUCUUUCAUUAAAAAAAUUCAUUAAUACUUUCAUAAGAAAACUGUGACAACCCGUCCCUAAUUUUAAGAGUUUUUAAAGUUUUAAUAAAGAAUUUUACAAAAAUGCCCUUUGAGGCACGCGCAUUAUUUGAGAUUAAUCGUUGUGUCGUGCCAUCUAAGAUUUGUUUUCUUGACAUAUCCUCGUAGUACUCGUCGCUACGGACGCGUGGGCGCUGACGGUUCGUUAUUUGGAGUUAUAAUGAAAAAGAUUUUAAAGUUUGAAGUUUGGGCAUUUUAUGAAUUUUAUUAUUAAAAUUUGGAUGGCCCAGAUGAAAGGAAAUCUGAAAUGGAUGGCUUGGAUGUAAGGGAAAGGAAAUAAAAAAAAAUGUUGAAAGGUUUUUGUGUGUGUACGUGAAAGGAAGAAGAAGAAGAUGGAGGAUUGGGCAAAGCUGCCCAAUCGGAAUAGGAGAGGGAGGAGUUGGGCCAACCAGAAAGAAGAGAAAGUGGAGGACCAAUCAGAGGGAGAAGAAAGGAGGAAAGGAGAGAGGGCGAGAAGCGGAGGAGAGAAUGAAGGAAACGGGUUUUCCCCCAACCCGUUUACCCGCGCACCCACCUCCAUUUUUCAGACGAUUUUCACCGGAUUUCUCAUGAAUUGGAUCAAGGUACCACUCCCAAUCAACACCUAGGCCUUCCCUCUUCAUGUUUCACCCCAAAAAUCAUGAAAUUUGAUGGUGAUUUGGUGAAAACCGCACCUGUGGGUGCCGCGACUUUGUUGUUCAAAUUCUUCAAAUCUUGAAAUGUUUUCUUUCAAUUACUAACACCAUUAGCAUUCCUUUAGGACCUGGAACAAAACCCAAGCAUUGGUUGGGACGGUGGAAUUGAUUUGAAGGUCGAAUUGAAAACACCCAAAUUCUAGGGUUCUUCACGGUUUUGGUGAAAUUGAAGUGUUUCCAAGACAAAUUGGCCUUGGCCUCAGGUAUAAAGUUUGCUCUACUCAUUGAGAUCUUCAAUUCUGUAUUUUUUGAGAAUUUUUGGAAAUAGUUGGAUUUUCCGGCGAGCAGGGACGGCCAACUGCCACCCGCGGCGGCCCGUGCGGUGGCGCGUGGCCAAUGGCCCACCAAUGUCAUUCUUAGCAUGUGUUUAAUGCUCUAGGUUCAGUUUUGAUAAUUGAUGGACGUAAAUUGAGUAAUUGAACCUAAGUUCGUUACGAUUCGUGGUUAGGUGAAAAUGUGAAUUGACGAUCCGACCGUUGGAUCGUCACCAAACUUUGAUACGUUGUAAUACGUAAUAUUUGAGGAUUAUAGGAACUUACGGAUUGGGAAUCCGAUUUACGGAUCUUCCGGAAUUGGAGUUGUAAGUUCAUAAAAUAGAAUGUUAACGGUCUCUUGGUUUUGACAAUUGACGGAGAUCCGACCGUUGGAUGGUAAGGAAAUUUUAGGAUGUUGUUCUAGAGAUAUAUUGUGGACCUCUGGAAGAUAUGGAUUGGAAAUCUGAGUUGCAGAUCUUCCGGAUUGAACAACGUAGUGACGUAUUUUAUAUAAGUUAUAUAUUCUAUCGAUAUGAUUUCUGAAGUUGGAUUUGAUUAUUGUUCUAGGCGCCGAUCUAUUGGAAAUAUGCCCUGAAAGUCAAUCUUUGGAAGAAACCUUUCAGGACAAUAAAUGGAUGUAUAAAUGACUCUUAUACAUCAAAUGGCAAAGAUACUAUUUAGGACUAUCUCUAUAAACGAUAUAUGUCCUUGGUAGUAAUUAUAACGCACCACAAAGUAGCACACAAUAAUCCUAUUAACUUUCCUUAUUAACACUAAGAUUUGUCAAUUGUAGCAUAUGAAAAUAAGGGUCUUUCCCGCAGAAGAUUGUUUUAUCCAAAUACUUAAAAUGUCACAAAAACAGGUGGCUGUCUCCACUGACCAGCCACCAAACAAUAAUUAUUAGACUAACUUAUACUUAUCCGAAUGCAACGAAAGUUUAUACACAUAAACUAGACACACCAAGCUAUGCUCACACAAAUUUUUGGGAUUUUUGGAGUUGAUUUGCUAUUUAAAUUAAAUCAUACAAAAACAGUACAGAAACCGAUUUUAAAUAAUACCAAUAGAUUUUAAUUCACAAGUUAAGAAAAUGAGUUAGGGGACAUGCUAUCCACCACCAAAUAAUCAUGUAAGUAUGUUAUGUUUCAUUCAAAUCCCUUUUAUUUCCGGAUGAAGAUGCUCAAGUUGGCUCACUGUUAGAACUCAACCUAUUACUCUUUCUUACGUAGUAUGUUAAGAGAAUGACGUUUUCAACUUAACUUAGUCCCUAGCAUGCAAUCUAGAAUGGUGUGUUUAUAGAUUUAACAAGUAGAAAUCAUUAAGAAUAAAAAGAGUUUGAGUCAUCACAAGGCAUCGUAAGUACUGGUGUUGUCUUACUUAUCCUAGAAAUCGUUUCACAUGUUAACCACAAUUAACAAGUGCUACUCUAGAACAUAUGUAGGUCCUCAUUCAACAAGGGCAGGCAGACAUAUAUUCAUAGCAUUAAAAUCCUAGAUAUGCUCACUAUGUAUGCAUCCAUAGAAACACAUAAAGAAUUUAUCAAUGACAUAAGUAGUGAAACAAUUUUCAUCCUUUCAUAAAAGUCAUUCAAACAAAAUAUCACAACAAAUUUACGAUCAUAUUCGGGGCUUCAAAACAGCCCCUAACUACUAAAAAUUAGUUACACAUUAUUUUCAAAUUAAACCAAAAGUUAAACAUGGGUUCGAGAAGAUAAAACCAAGAAAAUGGAGUGAAGCCUCUUCUCCCUGCUCUCUGCCGUGCCUCCUCCUUUGGAUUGAUGUGCUACUGACUUUUCCCCUGCGUUCACUUCCCCCGUGCCUUCUCUCUGUAUUUUUCUGUUUUUCCUUUCUCUGCACCGUGCUCUCCCUUUCCCUCUGACCUUCCUCGUCCGUCCACUCUCCUUCUUACGUCUCCCCUCUUUUUCGCUCUCCCUUCGACAGCCUGCCCUCCUACCCUUUUAUUCUUUCCGCACUGCCUCAGUGCUCUCUCUCCACUCUUAUUUUUUGCUUGCUGUCAGUCCAUGUGCCUUCUCUGUCAGUCUCCAUGUCUCUCUCUUUAUUUUCUGCAUUCCCCGCACUGACUUCCCCACUUCUUUGCCAGCCAGUCCGAGUCCCACUCUCUUUUCUGUUUUGAUUCCUUCUGCAGUCCACGUGCUUGCUGGCAUGUCCACAAUUUCUUUUAUUCUUUUAUUUAUUAUUCUUCCUUGCCACAGAAGAAUGCCAUCAGCCCUUUUUCCUUUCUCAUGUUCUCGACAUAGCAACAGUAAAGGAACAGUAAUCUUCACUGAGCAUGUGCACUUGAUGACUGAUGAGAUUCUGCAGUAAUGGAAUGACUACACGCAUGCGGUGAUCAUGUGUGUGGCUUUAGUGCUCUUUUCAAGGUAUAAGCUGGAAAGUAUUUUUGGCAGCAAGAUUCUUUUGUGCUAUUUUUAUUUUCUUUGCAUAACAAAUCCUAUAAACACAAAAAUAACGUAAAUAGCUCAAAAAUAUAAGGAACUAACUAAGAAAAGAUGAGUGAAUUCGAAGUAAAAAUAUAUAUAAAUAUGAUCCGAUCAGUCCUAAAUGGUGAAUCCAUGGACAAUGGAUCGAUUGAAGAAGUAAUCUAAUGAAGUUAGACUACAGAGACCUUCUUCACAUAACCAUCAUGUCCAAAAGGUUCCUGGUCAUAGGAUUGUCGGAGGGAUACUGACAAUGCAUAGACCGGUACAUACUAUGUCCGCUUCAAUUAGAAGGAUGGAAAGUCUCAUCCCAUUCGUGUAGUGACACUAAGACAAGUAUAUAGGUGCUCAUUAAGGGAAUGAGUUCACUGAACACAAUCGAACAAGAGUACUUGCAUGGAGGUCUACUCACAUGUCAAGCAAGUAACUCUAAUAGUUGGAAUAAUGUAAGUAGUCCUUUGACCUGAGGCAUCAUCGUUGUCUUGUGGUUAAGUACUUGAUCUUUGAUUAUGUCAAAGUCACUCCAUCCGCGGGUGUCCACGGCAUAGUCGGGGUUAAGCCACUUAGUCAUGAAGGCAAGUGAAUGCACAACAAGGAAUCUCUAAUCCUCGUUAAGAGAGGAUGAAUACUCUAAGAUAUGAUUCUGGAAUCUUCGGCCGAAGUAUCGAGCGUAAUGAAUGAAAGCAUUCCUAUACAACUCAAUUGAAUCAUAUAAGAAGGAAUAAUCACAUUAGGGGUUUGACAUAAUAUAUCCAUACCCUAGUGAUGUGAUUGAGAGUAUUGUUUUAGAGAAGGAUCGAAUUGCAUUGUAAUUCCAACUGAAUAGGUUCUCCGAACAACUUCUACAUUAGCUUGGGUAGCCAUGAUAUAUGGUUAGAUGUCACUCAUGGCUUGUGAGUUCUUCUAGAUGAUUAAAUGUAGUCGUCAAAGAAGAAGGUGAAUUAAAAGUAAGUUUUAAUUCACUAAGUGAUUGGAUUAAAUAUAAUCAAUUGGAUUGGUGUCAAUCACCUCACUGCCUUGCUAAUUAGAACCUAAAACGAUUGUUCACCAAUACACUCUUGUAGUGAGUAACUAAUGGAUAAUGGAAAUAAUUAAUUGGAUUAAUUAAGUGUUGUGAUUAAUUAGAAAGUCUAAAGAAAUCAUAAAAGCGAUAUAAGAUCGUUUUGGGCUUAAAGAAACUUUUGGGUUUAAUUGGGCCCAUUGGGCUUUUAUUCAAGCAUUGGAUGACUUAAAAUAAAUAAAAGCCCAAAGCCCAAACAACACAAAGGGGGCCGGCCAAAUGAGGGAGAGAAAGGUCAAAUGUUGACUUGUUUCUUUUUGGCUAUAAAAGGAACUUUAUAGCAAAUGUUUCAUUAGGGUUUUUGAAGUGUUAAAAGAACAAAAGAGAAAAAGAAAAAUAUCUCUCUAACACUCAAAGGGCCGGCCACCAUAGAGGGAUUUUAGCUAAUCAUCUUUUCACCCCUUUGGUUAUUCCUUCAUCCUUCUCACUACACUAGUGGGUGAGGAUCUUUAGAGGUUUUCAAUUUUGGAAACUUGAAGAGAACCUAGGAGCACUCAUACUAAACAAAGUGGAGGAGGCAAGGAAGAAGGCUAGGCUCAAGGAGUUCAAGGAGCAAAGGGCUUGGAGGUGGUCCAUCCUUGGUCUAAGAUCUAGAUCAAGAGGUAUAAAACUACUCCUAAACUUUGUUCUUAUAUAAAUUUGUUUUUGAUGCAUCUUACAUAAACCUAUGCAACUUGAAGGGGAUUUUCAUAACUAGAGCUUUGAUAUUAUUUGAUAACAUGCUUCCGUUGCUUUCGUAUAUAAAUCUUGAAUUGUAUAUGCAUGCUAGUCACUAGAAAUCCCACAUGAAUCUCAUAGAAUUCCCUUUCAAGUGGUAUCAGAGCCAAAGGUUUAUGUAUGAUGUGUCCUUUUGGAUUUUAUGCAUAUGGGUUUUAAUAUGAUGUAUGACAUAUUAUUUCUUCAUUCAAAGUAUGUUUAUCUUUUGUUUUUCAAAUGUUGAAAAAUGUGAAUCAAGAGUUGAAAAAGAUACGCAUGCAAAAAGGUGUUUUGGAUGCAUGAAUGAAGAUUGAGUUUUGAACAAAAUUUGGGGUUUUGUUCCAUAGGGGAGGGCACGGUUUUGGGGGUGGUUUUGGCUUGUGUUUGUGUUUUAUUGUAAACCACUCACACAUCCUUUUUAAAGCUAGAAAGAAGAGAUCUUGUCACUUUUGGUUUUGGGUUUGAAAAAUCACCAAGAAUGUACAAAUCUUGAAAUAGUGUUCAUGGUUUUGUUCUUGGUGUUCAUGGUUUUGUUCUUGGUGUUCAUGGUUUUGGUUUUGGUGAAAAUGGUUUUGUUUUGUGUUGGUGAAAAUGGUUUUGUUUUGUGUUCUUACUUCAUUAUUUGGUUUUAGAUGGUAUACUUACCAUCCAUAGCCUUCCCAAAUAUUUAAUAAAUCCUAGACUUGACUAGGUGAAUUUUCAUCACUUUUUCUUAAAGUCCUUAAAGCCUAAGUCAAGUGACAAGUAAAAUUUGGAUUUUUUCUACAUUAUGUUGAUUUAAUGCUUUGUGUAAGAAACCUCUCAUCCCCAUUAUGUGGCCGGCCUCCCUAGUGGAUUUAUCCACUUGUGGGGCUAUUUUGUAUUUUUGAAAAGUUGAUAUUUACUUUCAAGUAUUUACGGUUUGACCCCUAACUUUUUGUAUUUGCAUUUAGGCCCCUACUAACUAGAAAGUUUAAAUAUUUGAUUUUAAUUUUGUUAGUUGUUUAAACUCAUAUUAAUAUUAUGCCCAUAUGCACUAAAUCUAAAUGUUUAUGUUGCAUUCCAUAUGAUUAUUUAAUGUGAUUAAGUAGUUAGAAAAAUGGGUGACUAUGGACUUAUGCCUUAAACGAUAAUUGAGCUAUGAGAUAAGGCGCUAAACUCAAAUUGUUUGAACUUUGGGAAUGUGUUUUAAUUACUGUUUCAUUUGGACCUUGUCACGUUGGACAUUAAUCUAUCUCUCCCUCUUAGUAUAUGUAAUUUGUAGGAAUUUGAACAAAUCGUUUUGUAAUUCUUAUUACUUCUUAAUCUCUUUUAGUUAGUUGAUUCCCUCUAGUGCUAGACUAGAGUUUCUUUAACUAUUGGUAAGGAGACAUAACUAAAAGAGGGUUUUUGACAUGAGAUUAAAGAUUAAAUGGGUCCAACGCCCUAAUUAGCAAUGAAUGAUCGUCUUUCAUUUCUAAUGGCUCAAUGAAAAUGUUUUAAUUGGAUUGAAAAGCACGUAAUUAAAUUGACACAACCUCCCCGAGUUCUUAUUCAACAAUGUUGGCUCAUUGUUGCAAUAACCUAAUAAGUCCAUGGUCAUCCAAGAGCCUAAGAUAAAUAUAAAGUCCAAAUUCAAAGGAAUGCAAAAACCGUAGUAGUAGUAGUUACUUCCAAUAUUUGAAAAGUUCAUUUUUUGAUAUUGAUUUGUUUUUCUUAAAACAAAUAGUGGGAGUAUCAUACGCUACUAAACUAUAAUGAAUACAAUUAGUAGUUAUAUAUAUCUCCAAUAUUUUGAAAAAUGUUUUGAUAUUGAUUUGUUUUAUGAAAACGAAUAGUGGGGAUAUCAUAUGCUACUAAUUUCAUUAACUUUAGACUAGUAGUUAUAAUAGGACACAAUUUAUUUGAAUGUGAUUAAAUAAAUAAAAUUGAUGAGACCUUAAAAUCCCUCAACCAACAUACAAUAUUAAGUUGAAAGCGUAAGAGUGCUUUGAACACUUUUUCGUGGCCUUCCACCGUGGUAGGCUCCAAUCGUUUAUGACUUGUACACCGCCUUCACCCUAUCAUGGGAGAGUGCAAAGUGCAUGCUUAUACUCAGGAGGAGUUUAUUUAAAACAUUUGAUGAGGUUAAGGUAGGCAACGAGUGUGGCCAACAUCGUAUCAUCGUGAGGUCAUACUUGAACCCCUAUCUAAACCGGCAUGGUGGGACAAAACUUAACUAAGAGAAAUUGUGCCAACAUCAUAUCAUUGUAAGGCAUUGUUCUCUAGAGGCCAAAAAGAUAGGUAAUCACAAGAGGUUGUUGUGAAUGGGUAGUAAUACCCUCUCAUUAUUAUUUUUGCUAGCCGACAUCGUAUCAUCGUGAGGUGGGCUUGGUAAUAGUGAGCCUCCCAUAACCCGCUAGGAGCUUUCAUUGAAAUCUCCCGGAUUCCAUCUUGAGGGAUAUGGAAUUUGCCAAAAAUGGUGGGUGGUGUCAUUCGGUUUAAAGACCCGAAUCGUUUGACUUAAUCAACAAUCAAACUAAUUAUUUUAUUGUUUAGGUAUUUAGAUAUGGUUGGAAGCACACUCGCGAAAAUACUCGACAAACAUUGCCUAGAGGGGCACAAUUUCCCAUCAUGGUAUCGUAAUGUCAAGAUUCUCCUAACAUUGGAGAAGAUUGUUUACGUGCUAGACAAGGCCCCACCUCACAUACCUCUCGGCCCCGAGGCCACUGAGGAUGAACGUGCUAAGUAUGACAAGCACGUUGAGGAUGAUACACAAGCCAAGUGCUAUCUGUUGGCUUCCAUGAAUGAGGAGCUACAGAGACAGCACGAGGGUAUGGACAGUGCAUCUUCCAUCAUACUCCAUCUUACGGAGUUAUAUGGUGAAGGGACGCGCAACCGUCGCUUUAGCACUAUCAGUGAACUUGUGAAGACCAAGAUGGUCAAGGGGGCUCCAGUGCAUCAACAUGUACUGAAGAUGAUAGGACUCAUUGAACAAUUGGAGAACCUAGGUACUCCACUUGACGUGGAAUUGGCCCAGGACUUCAUAUUGGCUUCUCUUUCUAAUUCAUUCUCUCAGUUCGUAAUGAACUACAAUAUGAAUAAGAUAGAUAGUACUCUAUCUGAGUUACUAAACAUGUUAGUAACUACCGAGAAGACUAUGAAGAAAGAGAACGUUGUAGGGACUGCUGCAGUAGCCUACAACAAGCCAUCCUCUUCCAAGGCCAAGCUGCAAGGCAAAGGCAAAGGGAAGGAGAAGAAGUCUCCCACUCCUAAGCCGCAAGGAGGAGUGAGGAAAAAGAAGGCAAAGGAGCCCAAGGGGACUUGCCACCACUGUGGAAAGGAGGGGCAUUGGAAGAGGAAUUGCAGGUUAUACCUUGCAACUCUUAAGGACAAGCCACAAGGUAUGGUUUAUGUUCUUAUUGUCAAUUCUAAUUGUUAGAUCUUCUAAAAUUUAUAUUUGAUAUAAAGGGCUAAUUACUUGUAUAAUUGUAUAUAGGUGGAGGAGCCAAGUAGAAGAGGAACAAGCAAAGAAAAGUGUGGCGAAGGGUUCGGCCACCAUGUUUUUGCUUACUACUUAGGAAGUUUGUUAGGCAUUUAAAGAUAGUCUUUAAACUUUCUUAUUUUGUUAAGAACUUAUACUGUGGCUUCAUAUGAUGGAAGACCACUAUUAGUGCCUACAUGAAGGUAUAUAAUUAGUCUCUAAAUGUAUAGAGCUAAUUCUUUUUGUAUUAAACAUUAUGAAUGUUUGAAUUAUCAUAUUAAUGUAAUGUGAUGAAUGCCUUCUAAUAUAUUAUUUCCUUAAAGUAGUGUUAUGAAUUGAAUAUUGUCUUGUUGUAUCCUAGUUGAGAUACAAGAUUUAUAUCACUUAUUGUAAUGUGAUAACCAAACUUUAGACUUAUCAUUUAUGGAUAGAUCUCACAUGUAGAACAUAGAAGGAUACAAUGAAUCUUUAGAUUUGGUUCCAAUUGUCUACCUAUGAGUUCUAUAAGAAAUGACAAAGAUCUAGAGAUUCCUUUCUUGAAGAAAAGGAAGAUCACAUUAUAAUGAUAUAAGUAAUAAGAAAAACGUUUCUUAUAUG